rnacentral:rRNA from 1 species
UACGAAGGGGGCUAGCGUUGCUCGGAAUCACUGGCGUAAAGGGUGCGUAGGCGGGUCUUUAAGUCAGGGGUGAAAUCCUGGAGCUCAACUCCAGAACUGCCUUUGAUACUGAAGAUCUUGAGUUCGGGAGAGGUGAGUGGAACUGCGAGUGUAGAGGUGAAAUUCGUAGAUAUUCGCAAGAACACCAGUGGCGAAGGCGGCUCACUGGCCCGGUACUGACGCUGAGGUGCGAAAGCGUGGGGAGCAAACAGG